GCGGGGCCGCCGGCGCAACACCGGCCCGUCCCGUCCGCAGCGUCGGUGGGGCGGAGCGAGAGCGUACACGUUGGGACCCGAAAGAUGGUGAACUAUGCCUGGGCAGGACGAAGCCAGAGGAAACUCUGGUGGAGGUCCGCAGCGAUUCUGACGUGCAAAUCGAUCGUCAGACCUGGGUAUAGGGGCGAAAGACUAAUCGAACCAUCUAGUAGCUGGUUCCCUCCGAAGUUUCCCUCAGGAUAGCUGGCGCUCGAGGGAAGCAGUCUCAUCCGGUAAAGCGAAUGAUUAGAGGCCUUGGGGCCGAAACGACCUCAACCUAUUCUCAAACUUUCAAUGGGUGAGAAGUCCGGCUUGCUCGACUGAAGCCCGGACGUCCCAGGAUGCGAGUGCCCAGUGGGCCACUUUUGGUAAGCAGAACUGGCGCUGUGGGAUGAACCAAACGCUGGGUUAAGGCGCCCGAUGCAAGACGCUCAUCAGAUCCCAUGAAAGGUGUUGGUUGCUAUAGACAGCAGGACGGUGGCCAUGGAAGUCGGAAUCCGCUAAGGAGUGUGUAACAACUCACCUGCCGAAGCAACUAGCCCUGAAAAUGGAUGGCGCUGUAGCGUCGAGCCCAUACCCGGCCGCCCCGGCUGGGCGCGGAAGCUUAUGCCGGGGUGAGUAGGAGGCGUCGCAGCGGCGUGCGUUGAAGGUGCCGGGCGCGGGCCCGCCUGGAGCCGCCGCUGGUGCAGAUCUUGGUGGUAGUAGCAAAUACUCAAGUGAGAACCUUGAGGACUGAGGUGGAGAAGGGUUCCAUGUGAACAGCAGUUGAACAUGGGUCAGUCGGUCCUAAGGGAUAGGAGAAAUCCGUUCCGAAGCGGGACCUGCGUGCACCGUUAGGUCCCGUGGUCGACCGAAAGGGAAUCGGGUUAAUAUUCCCGAACCCGGAUGCGGAGAUCGGCCCUUCGGGGUCAACUGCGGUAACGCAACCAAACUCGGAGACGUCGAUCGGGGUCCCGGGAAGAGUUGUCUUUUCUUUGUAAGGGAUCGGCUCCCUGGAAUCGGCUCGCCCGGAGAUAGGGAUGCUGUUCCCGUAAAGCACCGCGGCUCUUGCGGUGUCCGGAGCGCUCCGGUCGGCCCUUGAAAAUCCGAGGGAGAGUGUGAUUUUCGUGCCGGACCGUACCCAUAUCCGCAGCAGGUCUCCAAGGUGAACAGCCUCUAGUCGAUGGAACA
rnacentral:rRNA from 1 species